GACGAACGCUGGCGGCGUGCCUAAUACAUGCAAGUCGAACGCAGUGGGGACGGGUGAGUAACACGUGGAUAACCUCCCAUCAGAGGGGAUAACACUUGGAAACAGGUGCUAAACCGAUACUGAUGGAUGAACCCGCGGUGCAUUAGCUAGUUGGUGAGGUAACGGCUCACCAAGGCCACGAUGCAUAGCCGACCGGGGAGGGGGACGGGCAAAACGGGGACGGAGAAAGGGCCCAGACUCCGACGGGAGGCAGAAGUAGGGAAUUUGGCGCAAGGGACGAAAGGCUGAGCGAGCAACGCCGCGUGUGGGAAGAAGGUUUUCGGAGCGGAAAACUCUGUUGUUAGGGAAGCGGUAUCUAACCAGAAAGCCACGGCUAACUCCGUGCCAGCAGCCGCGGUAAUAC
rnacentral:rRNA from 1 species